UGGAAAAAAAAAAAACCUAGCCACACGAACGACCCAUGAACCCCAAUCUCAUCCACCUCCAGCGCCGCCACGCCCUGCAACGCCGCCGCGCGCCGCCGAACUCCGCCCCGUCGUCGCCCCGCCGGAAUCCGCCGGAACUCGACCCGCCGUCGCGCCGCCGCUCAAGCCCAGCUUCUGGAUCGGGUCAACGCGGUGGCUCGAGCGGCUGGGGGCGGAUCCGGCGAGGAGGAGGCCGGAGUCGAGGCGGGCCACGCCAUGGGAGGAGGCCGGAGCUCGAGGGGCACGGUAAUGGGUGCGGCGGGGCGGAUCCGGCGAGGAGAGACCGGAGUGGAGGUGGGGGCACGCCAUGGGAGGCUAGCAAAGCUUCGGGCAGCACCAUCCAUAGUGGUUGCUACCUGUGGGAGAAGAGGAGGGAGAUUUUGAGAAAGAGAGAGAGACAGGAGUAAAGAGAGAGGGAAGGGAGAGGAAGGAGAGAUGGCCGGAGGCGUGGUCAAUGGUGAAGGUCCGGCGGCGCGCGGAGCGCGCUGCCCGCCGGUGGACACCCAAUUGUGCGUGAACCCGCCGAGGACUGACCUCGCCACCUCCGUGCCUCCCCCAGGAUCUCCGUCACUGCCUCAUGCUGCUGUGCGCAAAGAUACUGCUGCCUCUCCCUGGUACAUCCAUCUCCACUUCCUCGGGGCGCUGCUCGCCGGCUCAUGACCUGCUAUGGAAUUGACGUUUGCGCACACAAGUUCCCCUGUCUGGCUCUGCCGGCUCCCGUAGUUGAGCAGAGCCAGGAGAUCGAGAGAGGAAAUACUCACUUGAUUUUGCAAAUUAUGUUGGGCAUGGAGAUUGAUCUGUUAUUUUUGGUUGUCCCUAGAUUCAAGGAUGACAGCGCCCAAACCUUUCCCUGAUGUUUGGGCAAAGGCGUGUAUGUCUGAUGUGCAGCAAAGCGACGAAACAAUGGUCGAUGGUUAUGUAUCUCGCGGGACUCGACGGUUACAGUUUCGGGAGCAGCACUGUUGCUUGCUAGCAUAUUUUUUUCUUACAUAUAUGAACUGAUGAUGCUUUAUUUGGUGUUGUUUCCCAUGGCAGUACAUUAUGGCUUUGUUGACGAUGAUUUCUGCUAAUGUGCACACAGCUGAGGAAUAGACCCGGCAAGGAAGAGAGCUACACCAAUGUAGUCGGUGGAAUUAACAAGCAAAGUAAAUCCUGAAGCUCCUGGUUGUAACAAGAGGAAGUCGAUUUGUCAGUGGAAACAUAGCUGCAAGGAAGCGAUAUCUCAACUUUGACGUUACUUAAGCUUUUGGAUUUCAGAUUUAGUUGCCAUCACCAAACUGGUAUGCAAUUGAGUUGCACUUGAGCGCACAAGCUGAUUUCUAAAUAUCGCACAGUACUAUAGUUGUGCUCCACUAAAUAGCUUAUAUUUGAGCAGUCUUGCGGAAUAGUUACAGUGAAGAAAAAGCUUGCAAGAUUGAUUUGAUUUGCUGGUUUUUUGAGUGGCGCUACCCCUAUUAGGCUAAGUAGAAGCACUAUACGACGACUAAAGUACACCAGAUUACCUUCUCUGGUUUUGUAAUUUGUUGUUUGUUAUUUUUGGAAUUAUUUUGGGUACAAGGAAAGAAGUGCCAGAGAACUGCCAUUGUUUCGUGGUAAAAUUUACUAAUGUUGGUAUUUCUUUUCAAGAUUAUAUUAUUGUUUGCCCAUUUGGUCCUUGGAUGUUCUACUGAUUUUUUUUUCUAUUCCUUGUGGAUAAUUUGCUUCGGAUCAUCAGACUACCUAGGGAAACAUGCACAUUCUUUAUCUCACCCCCCCUCUUUAUCUAAAGAUAUAUUGGGCAUCAGUCCACCUGUCAUGAGAUCUCUGAAUUUUGGAGGCAUGUUGUAUUUUCUGAAUUUCUUGCAGAUAUUAUGCUUGGACUCACAAAUGCAUGUAAUGCUUCCACUAGAGGUUUGUUCUUCGUUUCUUCUAUGUUAUUCCUCUUUCAAGUUUUUGGUCCUUGAAAAGUAAUAGUACUUGCUAGGUUUUCUAGGUU